AUCACGCAUCACCCUCUCUCCCUCUCUCUCUCUGAUCUGAAUACAAUAAAGUCCAAUUCUUCUGUCAUUUGCUUAUGAAGUUAUCAUAAGAGCACUCAGCAAUUAGCAGCUAAAUCUACAAAAAAACCUUUACAACAUCCACACAGAAAGAAAGAAAGACAUGGCUGAAUCUUCCACUCCUGCCAAGGUCGAGUUAUUAGCAACCAAAACUGUGCAAGAGCAACUCACUGAAGGAGAAGUACUGGUGCCACAGAAAUAUAUUCUCAAAGAUGGAAUCCCACUCCCAAAUGCUUCUGUUGAGUUGAUGGAUGUUCCAGUUAUUGAUCUUGGUCUCCUCGCACCUUCCUCAUUCAGUAUGGAAGAAUUUGACAAACUCAGAUCAGCUCUUACCAAAUGGGGUUGCUUUCAGGUAAUAAACCAUGGAAUGACUCCUGAAUUCCUUGACAAAGUCCGUGAAAUCACGAAACAAUUUUUUGCACUUCCACUGCAAGAGAAGCAGAAAUAUUUGAGGCCAGUCGACAACAUUGAAGGAUAUGGGAAUGACAUGGUUUUUUCAGAGCAGCAAACACUUGAUUGGACAGAUAGACUAUACCUUACUGUAUAUCCACCAGACAUGCGCAAGCUCAAGUUUUGGCCUGAAAAUCCCAAAUCUUUUAGGGAUACUCUAGACCAAUAUACCAGUAAGUUACAGGUCAUAACAGAAACUGUCCUUAAGGCCAUGGCGCGGUCAUUGAAUUUGGAGGAAGAUUGCUUUCUGGACAAGUAUGGAGAACAAAGGAAAAUGGAUGCUAGGUUUAACUUCUAUCCUCCUUGUUCAAGGCCUGAUCGCGUACUAGGUGUCAAGCCACAUGCAGAUGGAACAAUAAUCACCCUUCUGUUGCAAGAUAAAGAAGUGGAAGGUCUUCAAUUUCUGAAAGAUGAUCAAUGGUUUAGAGCUCCAAUUGUUCCUGAGGCACUUCUCAUUAAUGUUGGUGAUCAAGCAGAGAUAUUGACUAAUGGACUGUUCAAGAGCCCAGUGCACAAGGUAGUGACAAAUGCAGAAAAGGAGAGGAUUUCUUUGGCUGCGUUUUGUGUCCCGGAUUCAGAGACAGAGAUUGAACCCUUUGAAAGCCUCAUCAAUGAGUCAAGGCCAAGGUUGUACAAAAAGUUGAAAAACUACGUUGGCAUCUUUUUUGAAUACUACCAGCAGGGAAGAAAACCAAUUGAAGCAGCAAUUAUAUAACCUUGAUUAUGCAUCAUGAAUAACUUCAAGUUUUAUUACUGAGAAGAUAGUGGCAUGAAUCGAAAUGUUUCAUAUUGAUGGAAACAAAAAGCAGGAAAUAAUACAUCAGCAAUUUGGAGUUCCACGUCUACUAUUCUAAUAAAGAUACAACAUCAUCAGUAGUCAGUACUCAGUACCAAAGAUCGAGGGAAAGCCAAAAUCUUGAUAGUUUAAACACAUCACAACUUUGGAUAAUGGCAAUGUCUUCAAACUGAUCCAUUGUCAAUUGCUUCUUCAUGCAAUGCAUUCGGCUUGAAUAACUCGGUUGUCUACUGUUGCUCAAGAACAACCAAUCCCACAAUCUCUUCCUCUAUCAAUCUCUUGAACAACUUCAACCACAACGUGCUCCAGGAUUCACUUCAGAUAAAACUUAUUGUGGAACUAACUUUAAGCAGCUCAAUUGGUUCCAUAUCCAAACUAGCACAAUUUGUGUCACGCAGUCCUCCCAGUAAUUAGGCUCUUUUUGUAUUAGUUGUCUAAGUGUCAAUUCAAAGGAUCAUACAAUUGAAAGACACAGAUUGGAUUAUUAAACUCAUAUGUCCCCAAAGAAA